rnacentral:lncRNA from 1 species
AUGUCACAUUGCAUCUGCAGGAUUACUCUAGUCACUGCAGAGAAGUGUGUUGAUUCUGUCAAAUUGUUACUAAUUGAUUUUAAAUAUACCAUGGUGUGUUGCUCCAUCAGGCCUCAAAUUACAUUAACCCUAACAAAACUAUUUCCUUUAGUUACAGAUCAAAGUGUCUGGUCAGAGGGGUAGUUUGGGAAUCAGCAUAGCUGGUGGAAAGGGCUCUCUGCCUUACAAAGAUCACGAUGAGGGCAUUUUUAUUUCCAGAGUAACUGAAGGGGGGCCAUCUGAAAAGGCUGGAAUCCAUGUUGGAGACAGACUGCUAGAGGUCAAUGGCAUCAGCAUGCAGGGAGCGACCCACCACGAAGCGGUCAGCGCCCUCAGGAAUGCUGGGAGUUGUAUCAAGAUGAAAGUACUCAGAGAGAGGCUUCUACCUCGAGUGGUGCGUGACCUGGAUGUGUCUCAGGAUCCUCGGGAUGCGGCUGGACGGCAGCUGUGCAGCCAGCACGGCGGAGGCCGGAGUAAACAGCUCAAGCUGGAGAGCGCAGAAGACUGUGUAUCCAAGAAGAUUGAGGCGGUUGUGUGCAAUGGCAACGGCAUUUCUGAUUUGGAGAGUGAUCUGAAAAGGACUGUGUCUGAGCUGGUGGCGGAGGCUUUAACAAAAAACGAUUUCCUAGCAGGGGGGAAACAGACGAUGACAAUCCCCCGGAUCAUCCUCACUCAUCCCUCUACCUCAGAUGAAGAUGUGGAGCUCUUGACACAAAGCCCCUGCAGAGAACUGCUACGUGACUUUGACGGUCCUGGCAAACGAGUGCACGCUGACCGCUGCGACAGUGCUUUCUGUCCGCCCUGACCACAGAUUGGUGCUGCAGAGAUGAAGGACACAGACUAUUCCUCUCCAGCUCAAUGUUUUAUUUCAGUACUGAAGCUUCACUGAUGUUACUGUGUAGUCUAGGCAUGAAACAGACUGUUGGAAUGUGGUUUUCACUGUCACUGCAAAGCUUGUUUGCCUGUCAGUUUCAACUGCUGCUAAUAGUGUUUAAUAUUUUUUAAAGCUUUAAAUGCUUAUUAGAAAUGUUUUUUUCUUGCAAAACUGAAUUAAAAAGACUGUACAGCUCUGCAAAGUCCACAUAAAAUACAGGUUGUAGUGUCAAAUGUGAUCACUUAAACAGCGAAUGCUUGCUGGAUACCUCUGCUUCACACCACGGAGUGUAAGUUAUGGACGUAGAGGCACACAGUGUCUCCGCCCAUGACAGUGUGAAGCCCUUAAACCUUUUAUAGCCCACGUUGUGAUAAAAUGCUACAUGGAUGAACAGAGUGCACAGCAGGGAGUCUGAAUCCCACAGAGACCUGAGACUGACUGAACUCUGCUUCUCAUCUUCACACACCUGCUGUAUGAGCAAAAUGCACACUUGUGAGAUUAUACGCAGAGCCGAGGGAGAGACCGGACACAUCGCAGGAGGAAUCUGCAAUCUCGCUUCCACAGCCCUAGAAUGCUCAGCCCGUAAAUGCAUAAUUACCUCGUGUUACUUUCUCAAUAAAGAGCAACAAUAUCAAUAUUCCAAGAGGCUUUUAUCUGAGUGGCAGGAGGCGUGUUUACUUGUGCAAAUGUAAGAUUGCACAAUGCUGCUGUUUCUGUUUUCACUCUUCCUUUGCCCACAAAAAAAACUGUCUGCUUCUUUAACAUAUGAUAGUGAUGACUCCUGGGUGAUAUUCCCUUAGGGAUACGACCUGUUUGGAAAGCACAUCCAGUGUGCGAAAUUCAAUUCAGAGUCUAUUAUGUGAAACUGUCUCAAGAGGCGUUUGUGUAAAUUCGCAGGAGAUGAGGAGGAUGAACAUGGAUUUGGAGGACUAGAUAAUAAACUGUGAAUCUGGGAAGAUUGUCACAGGGUAUAUGUUUCCAUAAGUGCCUUUACUGUAGGAAGCAUAUAUUCAUUUGACAAUGUCAAAUGAUUUACUGAUUUUUAGUCUUCAAAUAAUGAAAAACGAUACAUUAUGGGUUGGUUUUCUGAUAUUACUGAGCAAUCAAAUCUGUAUUUAUUCAUUUGCACACAC